rnacentral:rRNA from 1 species
GACGAACGCUGGCGGCGUGCUUAACACAUGCAAGUCGAACGGAAAGGCCCUGCUUUUGUGGGGUGCUCGAGUGGCGAACGGGUGAGUAACACGUGAGUAACCUGCCCUUGACUUUGGGAUAACUUCAGGAAACUGGGGCUAAUACCGGAUAGGAGCUCCUGCUGCAUGGUGGGGGUUGGAAAGUUUCGGCGGUUGGGGAUGGACUCGCGGCUUAUCAGCUUGUUGGUGGGGUAGUGCUUACCAAGGCUUUGACGGGUAGCCGGCCUGAGAGGGUGACCGGCCACAUUGGGACUGAGAUACGGCCCAGCCUCCUACGGGAGGCAGCAGUGGGGAAUAUUGCACAAUGGGCGGAAGCCUGAUGCAGCAACGCCGCGUGCGGGAUGACGGCCUUCGGGUUGUAAACCGCUUUCGCCUGUGACGAAGCGUGAGUGACGGUAAUGGGUAAAGAAGCACCGGCUAACUACGUG